CCUUAAGGGUAACACAGUUUUUUGUGUUCUUGACGCCCGCCUAGCGAUGGAUACUUUCAAAGAGCAUAUUUUUAUGUGCAUUUGACGGAAGGUUGCCUCCUCAUAACGCACAUAAAUAGGGGAUCCAAAUUCUCCAUUAUUUGCCCAACUAGGUCCUCAGCAAAGGCUCAUUUUGGCCUCAGGCUGGUCUGCGACUUCGCGGUCUCGGUGAGGUUGAUACACAUCAACGUUUCGAGGGCGUCUGGGGAAAGCACAGAGGCAACAUACACGCAUAAACAGCGUUGUAACUGGUUUUGAUGACAUUUGAGGCUAAUAUGAAUGGACAAUGUAAACGUGUAGUCACUAUGAGUCACUGCAAAGAUGAAGGAGAGAACUUGAGAGCGAUUCUGUGCUUUCCAAAAGUGAGCGAUUUUCCCUGCCAGCAAGGAAACAGCAAGAGUAACAGACACGCCGAGAGAUUACACAACUACAGAUGCCUUGAGGCAUACGAAUGAAAAAUGUUGAGGAUGGCUGUGAAAUGAUGUAAUCAAGAAAACGAAAAUUUAGGAUCGCCUGGGAGAUGGCACACAGAAAGGCCAUUUCUCCUUCAAUAGUCAGAGGAAAAGACAAGACAUCUGAAUGUUCCAGCUAUGCUUGGCCUUUUUCAGAAGUAUCAGGGCCUGUCCUGACCCUGGUGCAGCUCCAACAGUGAGUCCCUAGAGGCUCCUUCUGUCUGAUGGUCUUGGAGCAAGGCUCUUGCCAGUCGGGCAUGGUAAGGACUGGGCUUCGUGCUGUUAAGUUCUGUGCUGUUAUCUGAAGGAAAUGCAAUAUACACGAAAGGGACUGUAAGUGACAGCAGCUCCAGAGAAAGGAAAUCAGCAUUUCAGUAAGAAUUAAGAUGAAAAAAAAGACUCUGCUCCUGGAAUGAUUUAAAAUCUAGGAAACCCACUUGUGAAAUGUCUUUCUUUUUGUUCCUAGGACUCUUGAAACUUUCUUGCUGUCACACAGUAUCACCUUUUUUUUACUAUUAACUAUGAAAAAUCUUACCUAGUACUAGUCAGAAAUGGUUAUGAUAAAGGAAGCAAUGAGAUCAUUCCACACAUUCAAAAUUCAUUUACAAAAAAUAAUGUCCAGCAUAGUCUAACACCAGAUUCUUGAGACCUUUGAAGGAAAACUCAGAGGAACUGCUUGUGUCAGAUGACAGUGUCUGAAACUGAUAUCCCCACUCAGUCAAGAUUAGGGAGGAUGACCUGGUGUGGAGGCACAUACCUGUAACCCCAGCACUCAGGAGGCAGGAGGAUCACCGAUAGCUCAAGGUUAGCCUCAGCUACAUAGUCCAAAGCUAGCCUGAACUACCUAAAAAACCCUGUCUCAAAAAAAAGACUGGGAGAACAGGAUGACUAAUAACAGCAUAGCCAAGGAAGCACUGAAAGGAAGAGACAGUGGCUCUCCAUUAUGUCUUUUUGGACACAAGCUAGGGCAUAGUCUCUAACCCCUACACCCACUUUUGUCUGAAUGUAUUGUCAGUGACUAUAAAGGGAAGCAGUGUACAAUGGAGAGGAGUGACAUCUUUAUUCCCUCAUCUGGUGGCAGCCAGGAACGCAUCAGCCCCUGUGCUGUGGACAGUGGGCAAUGCAUCCAUGAAUUCUCAUGUGGCAGACUUCUGUAUUAUAUCCUGUAGUUUCCCAGAGGCAGCAGCUUGUGAAAGUCCUGCGAUGUGGAGGGCAGAGGGAACCUCCGACAAAAGGAUUCAUGGCCCAACUGCCCCAGAGGCCAUUAAAAAAUGAUUCCCAGAGUUCAGAGGCAGGGAUUGCCGGUGAAUCUCUUAGCUGCUGUUACUCCCACCCACGCAGUGGCUGGCACAUACCUGGAUGGGAGCUUUGGGAGAGGACUUCUGCUGCUGCCCAUAGAUCCUGGCUGUGCUCCAACUGGUAGAUCAGCUCUGAUUUUGACCAAGGACAGCCUGUGUAGUAAAAAGGAGGAGACAGGGAUUGGUAGGAAACAGAAUAUUUUCAAUCUAGUCUGAAACUUCAGGAUGGGAAAACCUCAAUGAAGAAGCUUCUGGGUUGCCAAAAGAAUUAAACAGUGCAAUGUGAACAAACAAUAUAAACAAAAAGAUUAUGAGAAUGGCAAAUGUGUUAGUCUCACAGGCUACCUGCAUCAUCUUUCAUAAAAUAACUAAGGCAGGAAGCCUUUCUACAGACAGCAAGAGACCUGCAAAGAAAGCAAGGAUGAGAAGAUGAGAGACCUAUAGUAAAGUACACCUGAGCUCCUUCUCAAGAACUUCACUGAGCCUGCGAGGGACUUGAAUUACAAAUUCUGACCCAGCACUGCAUCCUUGGCUAGAAAGGCUGCCUUGGUUCUGCAUAACACUUCAUGUCCUUCCAAUGCAUCCCUCUCCUUUAUCACCAAACAUAGAUUAUUUGUCUCCCAAAUCUUGCUGACUGAGACACAAAGAGAAGGAAGAGUCAAAUGCAAAGAUAUGACAGAAAGUAUAAAACAAAGAGGGCACUUCUGAGGUCUCAAUGAACAGCAAGGCCUGGAAUCAGAGGGCAAAGGAAGGGAAAAUCCAAUGGCCACAUGGCCGAGGGGAGCCUUACCCACAGUGACCAGAUGCUCACAAGUCUCCAGCAUCACCUCCCAGUAUAACAUCCUCUUGGAAAUGUCCAGCUGCCCCCACUCCUCCUCAGUGAAUCUCACAGCCACAUCUUCGAAGGUGACAGCCAUCUGGGAAGUUGAACAAAGAAUCUUUCUAGGGACUCUUGGAUAGGAUCAGACUUGAGCCAAGUAAAAGACAUAGACACUCAAGGACGAGAUCACCAAGCACCCCAAGAGGGCUGAGCCCUGUGCUGUGCUUCAGUGUAAGGAGGGUACUGCCUGAAUGGAUUGCAGCAGUGUACACCAUAGAAGUUUCAUAGGCAGGAAGACACUGCAGACUAAGUUUAGGACAGUCUCAAGUGGACUAUAGACUACAUGUAGCAAGUGCUCAGAGCUACUGAGAAACAGGAAAGAGUAACAACAAAAAUAAUACACAGAUACGACAAUAGCCCCUGUCUUAAUGGUCCUUACUGAGUGCUUGGCGCUUGUCAUGAGCCAUGGUAAAGCUACUACAAUCAGACUCCAGAAAUCAAUACCUGCUUGUUGUGUGACCACAGGACCCUUCUUUGUCUGCACCUCUAGUCUCAGAUCAAUCUUUUUCCACCUAUCCACUUAUAAGAAGAAUGAAAGAAAAAAAUGUUUAUAAAAGAAACAGGGGUGAUGGCCACAGUCUCAGAAGUCAACGCUAUCAUCCUCUCCAUUUAAAAUCCACACUGAGGUCCAGGAGGUUCUAUAAAUUCAUGCAAAUAUAUGGUGUAUGAAAGAGGCGGGAUUUGAACUGUAGGCAACCCAGUUAUGGAGAAAUGCCAUUCCCCUGUGAGCAAAGUUAACCCACAGUUAAUGAGACUGUAAUGCAUUCCAGAUAAGCUUCACUAUUAUAUCCUUACUAGCCACUUUUGCAAAUGUUUCUGUGGACUUGGCUGAAGGAGGGGAACCAUCAUCAUCCACCUUAUUAAAGAGACAUCUGAGGUACUGUCAUCUAUCUGUGAUGUGGUAGGGCCUGAAUCAGCUUGUGGAGUCAUCUGCAUCCCUUCUGGAUCCCAGUUUCCCAUGGAGAAUUCAAAAUAAUCCACUACCUUUAUUCCCUACCUGAAUCUUGCCAGGUCUUAUCACUGAAGCUAGGAUACUUCAAGAAGCAGAAACAAGACUCUAAGACAGCAUGAAUAUGGGCAUGAGAACCUGAUGUCUGGACUGGCAUCAUGUCCCUCCUAGGUAAGUAGAAAGUAAUGUUCACCAAAAGAUCACAUAGCUAGGUAUAGUGGCACAACUCUGUAAUUCUAGCUACCUAGGAGGCUGAGGCUGGAGGAUCACAAGUUCAAGGUUAAUCUGGCCAAUUUAAAGAGGGGAUGUACAUUACAUAUAAAGCACUUGUCUAGCACUUAUAACGCCCUAGGUUCGAUCUCCAUUAAGGGAAGAGGGAAAUCCCAGGUCACUGCGGAUUUCUUUUAAACCAAUGUGUGUUUCCUGAGUGACAGGAGUCUCUGCCAGAUAUGCCAGUCUAGAACGAAGUACACUUGCCUUGCAGUUUUUUUUUGUUUUUUUUUUUUUGUUUUUUUUUUUUUUUUUAUCGGUACCAGGGAUCGGACUCACGACUGCCUGCUUGCAAGGCAGGUGCUUAUGCCGCUGAGCUAAAUCCCCAGCCCCCACUUGCCUUGCAGUUUAUGCUGGGGAACUCCUGACUUUCCCCGUGCACUUUGUAGAAAACAGUGUAACAACAGGCAUGAUGACGGGCACAGCAGUCAGUUUCUGAUCAGGGCAGAAAGGGAGGCCAAGCAAAGAUUCAGAGGCAGCGUCACCAGUAAGACCGAGUGUGGGACAAGGUUGCCCAGCACAAGAGAUCUUCGUGAGGUCUGGCUCCUGGGUCUCAAGCGCAAGGAACCCGGAGAAACAGACCAGGUCGGAGGAGGGCGCAGGACUGGCAGACUCAAGGCCACAGUGUGGGGCUGCGUGCACCCAAGUGCCAGCUGACAUCUCAGAAGGAGCCGCCCUCACCGACAGUCCCCUUCCCGGGAACCAAGGGAUGGACUAACUCGCAAACAGCGGCCUCAGCCUCUCUGAAAACCAGAGGAACCACAGAGCCGGAUCCUCGUCCACUCACCUGCGCCGCCGCCAUCACGGAUGCCGAGCAGCGUGAGGCCAGCGACCUCCAGCGCCUCCCCAGCCUGGGCGGGUGACCUUGGUGGACGGACCUGUCUUCGGCCUCAGUUUCCUCCAUAUAAAAUGCGAAGGAAACACAAGGCGCGGCUGGCGGCUAGCGGGCACGUCAACCCGGCGACCAUGGGGCACUCCGUAACGGAGGAAGCUCCCAGCUCUCAAAGGACCCGGAGAACCCAGGAGUCUUCCUUGCAGCCACGCCUCACACCCCACGCUGCGACGCCAGCACUCAAAUCAGGCUGCCUCAGACGCCGGAAGUUGUCGCGCGAGAAGGCAACCGGAAGUCCCGUCCCCCCCCCACGCGCUUCAGACCGGAAACAUGCCUUAACGCAGUUUUUUUUGUUUUUUGUUUUUUUUUUAAACUGACGUCCUCCUAGUCGUGAGGACUUCUCACCGGGUUCCCGGUUCGUUUGCUACAGCGCUAACUUUUACAGUGAGUUUAUGUCGGUGGUAGCAACUCCCUCAUUAUCGGAGGCAUUCCUGAUGGGAACAUUUACCCGUGGUUAAAGUGAUUCAACAAGAGAGGCCCAGCAAGGUCUCUUUACCCCAUCUCUGCAAACGGGAUACACAUAAUUGCUGCAAGGCUGUUUGGGGACAGAUGGGCGACAACUGCAACACAUCAUGCAGAUGAAAAGGUACUGCUCUUGUUUUGAUGACAUCUAAAGCAAAGGUCAAAACCAUUCUAUACAGAGAAAGUAAAUGAACACUAUGUGUUACUGAAAAUCCAAAAGGGACAAAGAACAGUACUUGAAACAUGCCAUUUACCUGACAACAGGAAAAGAGUAAAAGUAACAAACAGAAAUUGAGAGAUCAGUCAACUACAGACGCCUUAAGGGACAACAACUGAAAUUCAUUGAAGAUCUGUGAAAAGAUGAUAAUCAAGAAAAAGGUUGGUAAAGUGUUCGCAGGCCUCCGAGAUGCCACACAGAAAGACCAUUUUCUCCUUAUAAAGUUAAACAGAGAAAAGAGACUUAAAGUCAUGUUUGCGUAUCUGGACCCUCAGUUAUGUGUUGCCCUUUUCAGAAAUAUCAGACAAUGAGAAGGACCUGUGGAACUAUUUUUCUGAAAUCUCAAUCCUGGCAUCUCUUUAACUCAGUGGUCUUAUGCUUGCUUCAGCAGCACAUAUACCAACUCUGGUCUUUAGACUACAAUUGUACCUUGGAAGUAUACUUAUUCCAAAUUCGAGUUCCAACGCAAAAUUUGAUAACUGAGCAUAUUUUUAUCAUAAGCAAUAACAGAACGCUAGGUGUGGUGACCCAUGCCUGUAAUCCCAGCACAUGAGGGGCUGAGACAGAAGGAUUGUGGCUGAUUUUUCCUAGAAGGCACCUCCCUCCCUGUGUUCUUUUCACAAACUCAAACUUCAAACUUCCCACUUUUCACCCAUGCCACAGUACUCCUUCAGUCUGCUGAUAAAACGUCAUUCUGUUCACCCCUUUAACUCCGCCCCUGUCAAAUUCCAGAUAAAGUCCACAGUUCUUUCCCAAAACCUCCAGAGGUUGCUUGCCUCUCUUCAGCAGCCUCCAGUGCCCUCAGUAAGGUGUUUUCUUUUCUGCUCUUUUUCUCUGUCACACCACAGAAGACCAAACAUUGCUGUGAGUUCGAGGCCAGCCUGGGUUACAAAGUGACCUAAAAUGCACAGUGAAACCCUGUCUCAAAACAACAACAAAAAGGGCUAGGGAUAUAGCUCAGCAGCACAGUACCUGCCUGGCAAGCAUGAUGUAGUUGAGUUAGAGCCUACGUACAAAAAUUAUUUCUUGCCAGGCGAGAGAUCCUGUUUCUGUUUCUAUCUCUGUCUCUCUCUCUCUGUCUCUCUCUCUCUCUCACACACACAGACAAAUGGAAAACCAAAUAAUUGGUCCUGAGGCUCAAAAGUUACCCUUAAAAAUUUUCUAAGAACUUUAACAAAUUUUGCAGUGAUUUCUUUAUUGUGGUUUUCAGUUUUCCUCUUAGCUUUGCUGCUGGUAGCACUGCUUUGAAGCCAUGGUUACAAUAUUUUACAUGAAGUGCAAAAAAAAAAAAAAUACCCCAGUGAAUACUUUCACACACUAACACAAAUUCCAUGUCAUCUGGGUGAAAAGGGUGCUUAGACUUAAGUGAUUUUGAUUUCCCUUUGUGUCCCCGGGGAGGCAUGACAUAUGCCUCACUUUCGGCCUGUCAGACUUUUGGUUAGACUAUGGAGCAAGGUUACUAACACCAAACACAUUUUGUUUUUCAAAUUUUGCUGGUCAAGUAGUGAACAGUUCAAAGCUGGAGCCAUCCAAGGUAUCACUGUAUCUGAUUAUCACUACUUCAGCCCCCUUGGCAUGGAUCUUGCCUCUUUGUGGUUCUCUAUAGUUUGUCUUGGUUGGCACAUUGACUCCUUAUGCUUUGGAAAUUACAUGGAAAUGGUUGAUUCUACUUUGCUAAGCUUUUAAAAUUCAUUAAUGACUCUGGCAUAUCAUUAAAGGUCAAUUUUUUAUUAUUCA